UGAACGGGUAGACAUUCUAGAGCUUCAGGUCUUCAGCUGUGAAAUGGAAAAUGAAAUCUACCCCUCUUAGCCCUACGGUUGUGUUCUAGGGAUCAAACAAGAGCCCUUGCAUUAACAGUGGCCAUGUGACCCAAUUAUAGACUAUAAGACAAGGAGAAAUCUGCUGGGGAAAGUAGGUGUCUGGGAAAGUAGACAGCCGGCAUCACCCUGUCUCCUUCUUCCUGCCUUGGAAAAGGAUGUGAUGACUGGAAUUGCAGCAGCAACAUUGUGACCAUGAAGCAGAGGCCAAAAGAAUUGCAAAGGGGCCUGUCCUCACAACAUUAAGCCAGUACACUAAUGCCAACAGCUGUCUGCCUGUAUGCUUCUUGUGAUAGAAUAAAAACAAACACCUAUUUGUUGAA